rnacentral:rRNA from 1 species
AGAGUUUGAUCCUGGCUCAGGACGAACGCUGGCGGCGUGCUUAACACAUGCAAGUGGAGCGACGAACCAGGGCUUGCCCUGGGGCAGAGCCGCGAACGGGUGAGUAACACGUGGGUUACCUGCCCCGAUGACCGGGACAACCCGAGGAAACUCGGGCUAAUACCGGAUGUGGUCUUCGGACGAAAGGAAGCUUCGGCCUCCGCAUCGGGAUGGGCCCGCGGCGCAUUAGCUUGUUGGUGGGGUAACGGCCUACCAAGGCUUCGAUGCGUAGCUGGUCUGAGAGGACGAUCAGCCACACUGGGACUGAGACACGGCCCAGACUCCUACGGGAGGCAGCAGUGGGGAAUCUUGCGCAAUGCGCGAAAGCGUGACGCAGCAACGCCGCGUGGGGGAAGACGGCCUUCGGGUUGUAAACCUCUUUCAGUUGGGACGAAGCUUCGUCGGUUAAUAGCCGGCCGGAGUGACGGUACCUUCAGAAGAAGCCCCGGCUAACUACGUGCCAGCAGCCGCGGUAAUACGUAGGGGGCAAGCGUUGUCCGGAAUCAUUGGGCGUAAAGAGCGUGUAGGCGGCCCGAUAAGUCCGCUGUGAAAGU